CCUACGGGUGGCAGCAGUGGGGGAUAUUGCACAAUGGGGGAAACCCUGAUGCAGCGAUGCCGCGUGAAUGAAGACGGCCUUCGGGUUGUAAAGUUCUGUCGCAGGGGACGAAAAUGACGGUACCCUGCAAGAAAGCUCCGGCUAACUACGUGCCAGCAGCCGCGGUAAUACGGGGGGUGCAAGCGUUACUCGGAAUCACUGGGCGUAAAGAGUGCGCAGGCGGGCUUGUAAGUCAGAUGUGAAAUCCUGUAGCUUAACUACAGAACUGCAUUUGAAACUAUGAGUCUAGAGUGUGGGAGAGGUAGGUGGAAUUCGUGGUGUAGGGGUAAAAUCCGUAGAUAUCAAGAGGAAUACUCAUUGCGAAGGCGACCUACUGGAACAUUACUGACGCUCAUGCACGAAAGCGUGGGGAGCAAACAGGAUUAGAUACCCCUGUAGUC
rnacentral:rRNA from 1 species